rnacentral:rRNA from 1 species
AGAGUUUGAUCAUGGCUCAUAUUGAACGCUGGCGGUAGGCCUAACACAUGCAAUUCGAACGGUAACGGACCGCUGGGAUCCCUUCGGGGUGACCUUGGUGCCGACGAGUGGCGGACGGGUGAGUAACACGUAGGAAUCUGCCCUACAGAGGGGGACAACCCGGAGAAAUCCGGGCUAAUACCGCAUACGCCCUACGGGGGAAAGCGGGGGAUCUUCCCCACCU